rnacentral:lncRNA from 13 species
CAGAGGAUUACCUCAUGCCUUUUCCCGGCAGUCCCAUCCUUCCUUCCCAUUCAUACACAAAAGCAGCCACUGCACCAUGGAAUAGUUGCAUCUCUUCUAGAUUUUCAUCAGAAUGGAAUCAUAAAUGGAGUUUUGCUCUUGUUGUCCAGGCUGGAAUGCAAUGGCGUGAUCUUGGCUCACCACAACCUCCACCUCCCAGGUUCAAGUGAUUCUCCGGCCUCAGCCUCCCAAGUAGCUGGGAUUACAGGUUGUGAUGUUCUGAAAAAGGCAAUUUAGUAAAAUCUGACUUACAACAAAAGGAAGACUCAAGGACAGGUCUGAUUUUUAGGUCCUGGCCAUGUGUGAGCCAGGUCUCCUGUGUGAAAGAGGAUCUGAAGGCAGAAGUGGCGGCUUGUUCCCCAGCUGAGAUGCAUUUGCUAGCUUUGGCAACUGUCCAGGACAAAGAUGGAUGCUUAAAAGUGAUUUUUAAACUAUAGAAAAUUAGAAUCAGUUCAAUAAAUCAUUUGCUUAGCAUCA